rnacentral:rRNA from 1 species
UACGUAGGGGGCAAGCGUUGUCCGGAUUUAUUGGGCGUAAAGAGCGUGUAGGCGGCCAAACAGGUCCACUGUGAAAACUCGAGGCUCAACCUCGAGAGGUCGGUGGAAACCGUCUGGCUAGAGUCCGGAAGAGGAGAGUGGAAUUCCCGGUGUAGCGGUGAAAUGCGGCAGAUAUCGGGAAGAACACCCGUGGCGAAGGCGGCGCUUCUGGGA